UACGUAGGGGGCAAGCGUUGUCCGGAAUCAUUGGGCGUAAAGAGCGUGUAGGCGGCUUGGUAAGUCCGCUGUGAAAGUCCAGGGCUCAACCCUGGAAAGCCAGUGGAAACUGCCAAGCUAGAGUCCGGAAGAGGCGAGUGGAACUCCUGGUGUAGCGGUGAAAUGCGCAGAUAUCAGGAAGAACACCAAUGGCGAAGGCAGCUCGCUGGGACGGUACUGACGCUGAGGCACGAAGGUCAGGGGAGCAAACGGG
rnacentral:rRNA from 1 species